rnacentral:tRNA from 1 species
GAGCCUGUUGCUGCGCUCGCCUUGCACGCGGGAGACCCGGGUUCGAUUUCCGGCGGGGUCA